GACGAACGCUGGCGGCGCGCCUAAUACAUGCAAGUAGAACGCUGAAGGAGGAGCUUGCUCUUCUGGAUGAGUUGCGAACGGGUGAGUAACGCGUAGGUAACCUGCCUGGUAGCGGGGGAUAACUAUUGGAAACGAUAGCUAAUACCGCAUAAGAGUAGAUGUUGCAUGACAUUUACUUAAAAGGUGCAAUUGCAUCACUACCAGAUGGACCUGCGUUGUAUUAGCUAGUUGGUGGGGUAACGGCUUACCAAGGCGACGAUACAUAGCCGACCUGAGAGGGUGAUCGGCCACACUGGGACUGAGACACGGCCCAGACUCCUACGGGAGGCAGCAGUAGGGAAUCUUCGGCAAUGGACGGAAGUCUGACCGAGCAACGCCGCGUGAGUGAAGAAGGUUUUCGGAUCGUAAAGCUCUGUUGUAAGAGAAGAACGAGUGUGAGAGUGGAAAGUUCACACUGUGACGGUAUCUUACCAGAAAGGGACGGCUAACUACGUG
rnacentral:rRNA from 1 species